UACGGAGGGUGCAAACGUUGCUCGGAAUUACUGGGCGUAAAGCGUGCGUAGGCGGUUUCUUAAGUCUGUUGUGAAAGCCCUGGGCUCAACCUGGGAACUGCAGUGGAUACUGAGAAGCUAGAGUGUGUCAGAGGAUGGUGGAAUUCCCGGUGUAGCGGUGAAAUGCGUAGAGAUCGGGAGGAACAUCAGUGGCGAAGGCGGCCAUCUGGGACAACACUGACGCUGAGGCACGAAAGCGUGGGGAGCAAACAGGG
rnacentral:rRNA from 1 species